rnacentral:tRNA from 1 species
GCCCCCGUAGUUCAAUGGAUAGAACACAAGCCUCCGGAGCUUGUAAUGUGGGUUCGACUCCCGCCGGGGGUA